rnacentral:misc_RNA from 1 species
UCUCCGUUGGUGAACCAGCGGAGGGAUCAUUACAGGGUUUUCACAACUCCCAACCCUUGCUAACCGUACCCAUUCCGUUCUCGUUGCUUCCGGCGGGUGUGACGUGGGGGCCCGAAACGGCCUCCCCGCCCCGCCCGUCGGGGGCGGCGCGCCCUACGCACCUUUAUAUCACAACCACCAUAAACCGUCUAACGAAACAAACAAAUUAAUCAAAACUUUCAACAACGGAUCUCUUGGCUCUG